rnacentral:sRNA from 1 species
UGGAUAGAUGGUGCUAUUUGGAUAUUAG